CACAGGUGGGCAAGUAGAGAAUACUAAGGUGAUCGAGAUAACCAUCGUUAAGGAACUCGGCAAAAUCGCUCCGUAACUUCGGGAUAAGGAGCGCCCCAGUAAGGUGAAGCACCUCGCGUGCGGAGCCUGAGAGGGCCGCAGUGAAUAGGUUCAACCGACUGUUUACCAAAAACACAGGGCUCUGCUAAGUCGUAAGACGACGUAUAGGGUCUGACGCCUGCCCGGUGCCGGAAGGUUACGUGGAGGUGUUAGGGGUAACCCGAAGCACUGAAACUAAGCCCCGGUAAACGGCGGCGGUAACUAUAACCGUCCUAAGGUAGCGAAAUUCCUUGUCGGGUAAGUUCCGACCUGCACGAAUGGCGUAACGAGUUGAACGCUGUCUCAACGAUGGGCUCGGUGAAAUUGCAGUCUCGGUGAAGAUGCCGAGUACCCGUGGCUAGACGGAAAGACCCCGUGAACCUUUACUACAACCUGGUAUUGGAGUGCGGUGCAUCUCGCUCAGGAUAGGAGGGAGUCUUUGAAGCGCCGGCUGCGGCUGGCGUGGAGACAACCUUGAGAUACCUCCCUUGAUGUAUUGUGCUUCUAACACUGCGCCGUAAUCCGGGCAGUGAACAGUGCCAGGCGGGUAGUUUGACUGGGGCGGUCGCCUCCCAAAAUGUAACGGAGGCGCGCAAAGGUUCCCUCAGCACGGUUGGAAAUCGUGCGUAGAGUGCAAAAGCAGUAAGGGAGCUUGACUGUGAGACCGACAGGUCGAGCAGGUGCGAAAGCAGGCUUUAGUGAUCCGGCAGUAGCAAGUGGAAGUGCUGUCGCUCAACGGAUAAAAGGUACUCCGGGGAUAACAGGCUUAUCGAGUCCAAGAGUCCACAUCGACGACUCGGUUUGGCACCUCGAUGUCGGCUCGUCGCAUCCUGGGGCUGAAGUAGGUCCCAAGGGUUGGGCUGUUCGCCCAUUAAAGCGGUACGCGAGCUGGGUUCAGAACGUCGUGAGACAGUUCGGUCCCUAUCUGCCAUGGGCGUUGGAGAAUUGAAAGGAUUCGUCCCUAGUACGAGAGGACCGGGAUGAACGCACCUCUGGUGUAUCUGUUGUCCUGCCAAGGGCAUCGCAGGUUAGCUACGUGCGGACCGGAUAACCGCUGAAGGCAUCUAAGCGGGAAGCCGACCUUGAGAUGAGUUCUCCCACCUCCUUGAGAGGGUAAGAUCCCUGGUAGACCACCAGGUUGAUAGGCCGGAUCUGGAAGAGCGGUAACGCUCGUAGGAGACCGGUACUAAUGGAUCGAGGGCUUGACGG
rnacentral:rRNA from 1 species